GCUAGCAUCGAGGGGCAUCCUCGAUUGUAGGCCUACUGGUAGACACCGAUGAUGUCUCUCCGGAGGGGGGAUUUACUCUUUUUAGCCAUGUGUCUGUUAUUCCGGCGCAGGUAUGGCUGUUUUAUAUGAUUAGUAACUUGACGUUAACAAGUAGCCUGAUUGGUUGCUACGUAACGAUUGAAACACUGUGUCGGGAGAAGAUUUGAGUGCGGGAUUGUCAUAACGGGGUGGGGGUUUCGCAGCUUACUGCGAGGUUUGUUCUCCUGGGAAGCAAUCGGACUAUUCCGGACAAGGCGUGAAGCAGCUGCACUGGUGCAAUCAAUCAGCAAUCUGAACACCUGUACCUGAUGAGAUGCAGGGCUUCUUAAGCCAGAGCAAACCUGCGUUCCGGGCUAGAACGUAGCUCCCUGUUCCGUACACAGCAUUCCUCUGUUUCCUGCUCACGAGCUGUGUGUCUCGUCUCACCGUAUUCCUUCUGGUUCCCUGGCUGGUUCUCCUUUUGAUCUCGACCUCCCGCCUGGACACGAACUUUGACGCCUCGCUCUUGCCCCUGACCUCCUGCCUGUCUCUGGACCUUCAAGCCUGCCUUGCCCUAUCUUGGACUUCCGCCUCUUGCUCAACACUCCCGGUAACACUCAACAUGUACUCACUUCACAUAGUCGCACACCAUCCAUAUUUUAAUUACACGCCUCAU